CUCUUUCUCUCUUAAAGAAAAUAUAUAGGGAGAAAUGUCGGAGUUGUGGAAAUGGUACCAAAAUUGCUUAGCUGUGCACCCAGCUAAGAAACAAGUGAUUAGCUCAGGAUUUAUUUGGGGAUUUGGUGAUAUAGCUGCAAAAUCCAUCACUCACUAUACAGCCAAGAAAUAUCAUCAAAUCAAUGUAUGAAGGCAGACCGAUUUAUUAGAUCACGACUUCUAAUGCGUCCAAAUUCCUUGCGGUUUGUUGGUGCUAAAGAAGCAACUGAUGGGUUCCUCUUUGGACCACUGGAUCUGCUUGUAUUUUUCAGUUACAUGGGUUUUGCCACUGGGAAGAGCGUUCCCCAAAUCAGGAAAGAUUUGGACAGGGACUUCGUACCAGCUUUUGUUUUGGAAGGAGGUAUAUGGCCACUUGUUCAAGUUGCGAUUUCCGAUUUGUACCUGUGUGGUAUCAACUCUUGUAUGUCAACUCCUUCUGCUUGUUGGAUAGUUGUUUUCUGUAGUGGCUUGAGCAGCAAGAGGAUGUUCCUUGGAAGCAAUGGUUGAUAUCUCUUCUCCCUUCCAAGGAGCAAAAAGAUCUAGGUGGAUGAUUUCUUGUCUUCAAGUUCUUAAUGUUUCAUUCUGAGGCAUAGCAAUCAUGGUGGGUGUACAGGUAAGAGAAAAGGGUUUCAAAAAAAGUCAACAAGGCUGAAUCGGCAACUUCAAAUUUUCAUGUGAGCAAUUCAGACAAGUCAAAGGAUUACUCUUUUGCUAUGCAGUUUUUGCUUCGAAUACAAGGAAGCUUAUAUUGAUUGUUUUCCCAACCCUGUCUUUUUUAUUUUUUUUAAAUCAAAGACAUCAUUGAAACUGUUUUUGUUAGUGGUUUGGAGAGUUUACCAGGUAUGAAAUCUUUAGAAACAGAUGCUGAUGGGAUUCUAUUU